GGGCGAGUGGUGGAAUGGUAGACACGCCAGACUUAGGAUCUGGUGGGCCCUGCCCGUGGGAGUUCGAGUCUCCCCUCGCCCACCA
rnacentral:tRNA from 1 species